GUGAAAACAUCAAUCGCACCGUGUGAAUCAAAUUACGCACUUUCGUUCAGAGGGAGAAACCGGCGUCUUGAUCACGAGAAGGAAACUCUUUUGGGGAUAUACCAGAAGAGGAUUCGAUCAAAAUAUUGGCGAAUGAUUGGACGAUCUCUCGGAUUUACACAAGAUGUU